rnacentral:sRNA from 1 species
AGCGCGUCCGAGACGCCGCGCGGUGAUGUUCCCGAAAACGUCUGCCCGGCCUAGCGGGAACCCAGCAUGGUUUUCAGGAUCUUAUAUUGCACUUUAAACACACCUAAAAUUGACAUGGAAAGACUCUUAGGAGGACAACUAGGACUAGAAGAUUUCAUAUUUGCCCAUGUGAAAGGAAUCAAAAAAGAAGUGAAUGUGUAUAAAUCUGAGGAUUCACUUGGUCUCACCAUUACAGAUAAUGGUGUUGGCUAUGCUUUUAUAAAGAUUCUUAUGUGCUGUCUCUGAUAGUGACAUGUGCUGUGACUUUUCUCU